ACUGGGCGCGGUGGCACGUGCCUGUGCUCACAGUUACUCGGGAGGCUGAGGUGGGAGGAUCGCUUGAGCCCAGGAGUUCUGCGCUGUAGUGUGCUAUGCUGAUCUGGUGUCCUCACUAAGUUCUGCAUCAAUAUGGUGACCUCCCGGGAGCGGGGGACCACCAGGUAGCCUAAGGAGGGGUGAACUGGCCCAGGUCGGAAACGGUGCUGAUCAGUAGUGAGAUCUCGCCUGUGAAUAGCCACUGCACUCCAGCCUGGGCAACAUAGCGAGACCUCGUCUCUA
ensembl:misc_RNA Metazoa_SRP Metazoan signal recognition particle RNA